GAUGAACGCUGGCGGCGUGCCUAAUACAUGCAAGUCGAGCGAACGGACGAGAAGCUUGCUUCUCUGAUGUUAGCGGCGGACGGGUGAGUAACACGUGGAUAACCUACCUAUAAGACUGGGAUAACUUCGGGAAACCGUAGCUAAUACCGGAUAAUAUUUUGAACCGCAUGGUUCAAAAGUGAAAGACGGUCUUGCUGUCACUUAUAGAUGGAUCCGCGCUGCAUUAGCUAGUUGGUAAGGUAACGGCUUACCAAGGCAACGAUGCAUAGCCGACCUGAGGGGGUGAUCGGCCACACUGGAACUGAGACACGGUCCAGACUCCUACGGGAGGCAGCAGUAGGGAAUCUUCCGCAAUGGACGAAAGCCUGACGGAGCAACGCCGCGUGAGUGAUGAAGGUCUUCGGAUCGUAAAACUCUGUUAUUAGGGAAGAACAUAUGUGUAAGUAACUGUGCGCAUCUUGACGGUACCUAAUCAGAAAGCCACGGCUAACUACGUG
rnacentral:rRNA from 1 species